GUGCUCACUUUGGCAGUACAUAUACUAAAAUUGGGACAAUACAGAGAUGAGGAUGGCCCCUGUGCAAGGGUGACAGACAAAUUUGUGAAGUGUUACGUAAUUUU